ACACGUUCUCAGGGCGGGGUGGAAUUCCCCACCGGCGGUAAUGGCAUCCGGACCGAUCCGGAAGGCAUGAGCCCGCGAGCGCCAGGCGGUCGGCGACGACCGGCUGGGUCGAGCAGAUUCCGGUGUGAUCCCGGAGCCGACGGUCACAGUCCGGAUGAAAGAGAACGCGG
rnacentral:ncRNA from 1 species